GUGGGGAAUCUUGCGCAAUGGGCGAAAGCCUGACGCAGCCAUGCCGCGUGAAUGGUGAAGGUCUUAGGAUUGUAAAAUUCUUUCACCGGGGACGAUAAUGACGGUACCCGGAGAAGAAGCCCCGGCUAACUUCGUGCCAGCAGCCGCGGUAAUACGAAGGGGGCUAGCGUUGCUCGGAAUUACUGGGCGUAAAGGGCGCGUAGGCGGACAGUUUAGUCAGAGGUGAAAGCCCAGGGCUCAACCUUGGAAUUGCCUUUGAUACUGGCUGUCUUGAGUGUGGGAGAGGUGAGUGGAACUCCGAGUGUAGAGGUGAAAUUCGUAGAUAUUCGGAAGAACACCAGUGGCGAAGGCGACUCACUGGCCCAAUACUGACGCUGAGGCGCGAAAGCGUGGGGAGCAAACAGGAUUAGAUACUCCUGUAGUCC
rnacentral:rRNA from 1 species